rnacentral:rRNA from 1 species
AUUGAACGCUGGCGGCAUGCCUUACACAUGCAAGUCGAACGGCAGCACGGGAGCAAUCCUGGUGGCGAGUGGCGAACGGGUGAGUAAUAUAUCGGAACGUGCCCAGUCGUGGGGAUAACGUAGCGAAAGCUACGCUAAUACCGCAUACGAUCUAUGGAUGAAAGCGGGGGAUCGCAAGACCUCGCGCGAUUGGAGCGGCCGAUAUCAGAUUAGGUAGUUGGUGAGGUAAAGGCUCACCAAGCCGACGAUCUGUAGCUGGUCUGAGAGGACGACCAGCCACACUGGGACUGAGACACGGCCCAGACUCCUACGGGAGGCAGCAGUGGGAAUUUUGGACAAUGGGCGCAAGCCUGAUCCAGCAAUGCCGCGUGCAGGAUGAAGGCCU